GUCUUGGUAAAAUAAAAUCGUCUUCAAGGAAAUAUCAAUUGGAAUUUUCAACCACAUCCCUUGGAACUAGACUUUUGAUUUUUGAGUAAAAUCAUCACCUUAAAAUAAUCAAAUAACAUUGCUCGUGGUACGCAAUUAUACAAGUAUACAACAAAAUCAGUCACAAAAUAAUUUAUACUACCAAAAGUAACUCAAAAAAAAGUAAUAUGUAGGAUUUAAGGUUUGAAAAACCACUACAGAAGUACCAUUUAUCAAAAACAAGACUUCAGCAUAUGG
rnacentral:lncRNA from 1 species